rnacentral:piRNA from 1 species
UGCAGACGCUCACCAAGCAGGACACC